rnacentral:lncRNA from 1 species
CUGAGGGAAGCUGGCCUGGAUGAGCUGUGCUUGGGCUGUCUUAGUCGCCCAUGGCAAGAGGCUGAGGAGAGUGGGUAAACCUUUGGGAUUGGGAAGGGGAUAGUGUUCCUUUUUAAUAGGCUGGAGGGAACCAUGACAGGCUUGGGACCAACUCUGACACUAAUGCAGAGGUCCUGCCGACAGCUGGUCAGAGAGGCAGGUCAGGAAGGGAAGGCUCUGUUUAGAUGGUCUCUGGGGAAAGGUCAACUUUCCCAUUUCCCCACCCUCUGCUCUGUACCCUUUCCUUAGUGCCUGGGACAUCAGCCUGGAACUGCUGCUGGACUCUAUAAAGCUCAGCACCAGGCACAGGUACCCUCUGGGCCUACUUUUCCGCCUGGGUGGAGGUAGGGCUCUUCUACACUGCUCAUCCAUGACUGUGGGGCUGGGAAGAACUUUCUGGGAACAGGAGACCAUGCUGUGGUGGGAAAGUCUGCUAACCUCACUGCUUUGUCCCUUCCUGUCCUUUGCCCAGUUGUCUGCCUCAGCCCCAUGGGGAAACAAUUGUGCUGCAGAGCUUUGUAAGAGAGCUCCCUGCUGUCAGGGUAACACAGUCGUCAUGACACCCAAGAUGCUCACUGUGGUUGCUCAGAUGGCCUUUCUGGGCUUGUUCCAUGUCCAGAAAAGAGCCUCGUGACUCAGCCUACCUGUCUCAAGAGCAGACAUCAUCUUCUAAGACCACCCCUUCUGUUAAGCAGGGAAAGGAUGCUUGUGACCAGAGCUGGAGGUCUCGGCUUCAGGUGGGGCUUCUUCUGUAUGCUUCCCAUAGUCGCAGUGAGUUUG